UGCGUACCUUUUGUAUAAUGGGUCAGCGACUUAUAUUCUGUAGCAAGGUUAACCGUAUAGGGGAGCCGGAGGGAAACCGAGUCUUAACCGGGCGUUAAGUUGCAGGGUAUAGACCCGAAACCCGGUGAUCUAGCCAUGGGCAGGUUGAAGGUUGGGUAACACUAACUGGAGGACCGAACCGACUAAUGUUGAAAAAUUAGCGGAUGACCUGUGGCUGGGGGUGAAAGGCCAAUCAAACCGGGAGAUAGCUGGUUCUCCCCGAAAGCUAUUUAGGUAGCGCCUCGUGAAUUCAUCUCCGGGGGUAGAGCACUGUUUCGGCUAGGGGGCCAUCCCGGCUUACCAACCCGAUGCAAACUGCGAAUACCGGAGAAUGUUAUCACGGGAGACACACGGCGGGUGCUAACGUCCGUCGUGAAGAGGGAAACAACCCAGACCGCCAGCUAAGGUCCCAAAGUCAUGGUUAAGUGGGAAACGAUGUGGGAAGGCCCAGACAGCCAGGAUGUUGGCUUAGAAGCAGCCAUCAUUUAAAGAAAGCGUAAUAGCUCACUGGUCGAGUCGGCCUGCGCGGAAGAUGUAACGGGGCUAAACCAUGCACCGAAGCUGCGGCAGCGACGUUUAUGCGUUGUUGGGUAGGGGAGCGUUCUGUAAGCCUGCGAAGGUGGCCUGUGAGGGUUGCUGGAGGUAUCAGAAGUGCGAAUGCUGACAUAAGUAACGAUAAAGCGGGUGAAAAGCCCGCUCGCCGGAAGACCAAGGGUUCCUGUCCAACGUUAAUCGGGGCAGGGUGAGUCGACCCCUAAGGCGAGGCCGAAAGGCGUAGUCGAUGGGAAACGGGUUAAUAUUCCCGUACUUGGUGUUACUGCGAAGGGGGGACGGAGAAGGCUAUGUUGGCCGGGCGACGGUUG
rnacentral:rRNA from 1 species